AGGACCUCCCGUAUCUUUUGUUUCCAUUCCCGGUCGCUUAACCGCAGUAAAGCAAUAUUAACAAGCGUCCGGAGAACUUCAGACAAUCUCUUUGUCUUCUGCAGCACGUCCUUUAUGACGAUUCGUCGUAUUAUUCCCGAACGUCGGUAAAUCCCGUCUUCCUAGAUUGGUCCACUUAUCUUCGAUAUUAAACCAUUUGGACGCAAAAUAUUCACCGCUGCUUCCCAAACCUUGAUCAAGAGAGUCCUAUCAGGUACGCUUUAGAUGAAUAAUACACAUGCACGUUUCGGCGUGCAUUGCAGCGCGGAAAUGUUUCCGUAUCUCGAAGUGUGUCUCCUUGUUUUCUCCGUUCUUGGUCUUGUUUAAAUACGUGUCCACGGACUUCAAGGCAUGGAACUGGCACAAAAGAUGGGCUGCUUUAGGAAAAUUUCUUCCCAAGGCGGCGAUCUCCGCGCAAUCCUUGUCCCUCAUUGUCAUUUUUGUGACUGGCACGUCAUUGUUUUAUGGUAAAGGUAGAUUCAUUAUUAGAACAUAAUAAAUUUGAGUAUCAGCAAUUCUUGCAUCUGCAAAGACUUUCAGGCAUUCUUAAAUGGCUUCUGUUGUCUCCUCCCUAAUGAAGAACAUGGCCGUAUUUCUGGUAUCUACUGUUCCAUAUUUCUGGUAGAGUCUGCGCUGUUUAUGUAGAUGGACAAAUAAAGCUGCCACUUCUUAAUCAGCAUCCUGCAAAUUUUUGAUAACGUUAUUUUCAACAUUUUGAAGACCGCAAAGAUAGUGAACGAC